GAUGAAGAACGUAGUGAAAUGCGAUAAGUAAUGUGAAUUGCAGAAUUCAGUGAAUCAUCGAAUCUUUGAACGCACAUUGCGCCCGCCAGUAUUCUGGCGGGCAUGCCUGUUCGAGCGUCAUUUCAACCCUCAAGCCCAGCUUGGUGUUGGGGAUCGGCACAGGCGCCCUCGGGCGCCCGCCGUCCCCUAAAUCUAGUGGCGGUCCCGCUGCAGCCUCCUCUGCGUAGUAGUUUUCUCCUCGCAAGGGCAGCUCGGUGGCGACCUCGCCGUAAAACCCCCAACUUCUGAAAGGUUGACCUCGAAUCAGGUAGGAAUACCCGCUGAACUUAAGCAUAUCAAUAAGCGGAGA
rnacentral:misc_RNA from 1 species